rnacentral:tRNA from 1 species
GGGUAUAUAGCUCAGUGGUAGAGUGAAUGCUUAGCAUGCAUGAGGUCCUGGGUUCAAUCCUCAGUACUUCCA